rnacentral:rRNA from 1 species
UACGGAGGGAGCUAGCGUUGUUCGGAAUUACUGGGCGUAAAGCGCGUGUAGGCGGUUCCGCCAGUCUGGUGUGAAAGCCCGGGGCUCAACCCCGGAAGCGCAUUGGAUACUACGGAGCUUGAGUCCUGAAGAGGAGAGCGGAAUUCCCGGUGUAGAGGUGAAAUUCGUAGAUAUCGGGAGGAACACCAGUGGCGAAGGCGGCUCACUGGCCCGAUACUGACGCUGAGGCACGAAAGCGUGGGUAGCAAACAGGG